UGGGGAAUAUUGCACAAUGGGCGCAAGCCUGAUGCAGCCAUGCCGCGUGUGUGAAGAAGGCCUUCGGGUUGUAAAGCACUUUCAGCGGGGAGGAAGGCGGUGAGGUUAAUAACCUCAUCGAUUGACGUUACCCGCAGAAGAAGCACCGGCUAACUCCGUGCCAGCAGCCGCGGUAAUACGGAGGGUGCAAGCGUUAAUCGGAAUUACUGGGCGUAAAGCGCACGCAGGCGGUCUGUCAAGUCGGAUGUGAAAUCCCCGGGCUCAACCUGGGAACUGCAUUCGAAACUGGCAGGCUAUAGUCUUGUAGAGGGGGGUAGAAUUCCAGGUGUAGCGGUGAAAUGCGUAGAGAUCUGGAGGAAUACCGGUGGCGAAGGCGGCCCCCUGGACGAAGACUGACGCUCAGGUGCGAAAGCGUGGGGAGCAAACAGG
rnacentral:rRNA from 1 species